rnacentral:rRNA from 1 species
CACAUGCAAGUCGCACGAGAAAGUGGAGCAAUCCAUGAGUAAAGUGGCGCACGGGUGAGUAACACGUGAAUGAUCUACCUCCGAGUGGGGAAUAACCUAGAGAAAUCUGGGCUAAUACCGCAUAACACUUACGAGUCAAAGCAGCAAUGCGCUUGGAGAGGAGUUCGCGGCCGAUUAGUUAGUUGGCGGGGUAAUGGCCCACCAAGACGAUGAUCGGUAUCCGGCCUGAGAGGGCGCACGGACACACUGGAACUGAAACACGGUCCAGACUCCUACGGGAGGCAGCAGUGGGGAAUUUUGCGCAAUGGGGGAAACCCUGACGCAGCAACGCCGCGUGGAGGAUGAAAUCCCUUGGGAUGUAAACUCCUUUCGAUCGGGACGAUUAUGACGGUACCGGAAGAAGAAGCCCCGGCUAACUUCGUGCCAGCAGCCGCGGUAAUACGAGGGGGGCAAGCGUUGUUCGGAAUUAUUGGGCGUAAAGGGCGCGUACGCGGUUUGACAAGUCUGAUGUGAAAUCUCUGGGCUCAACUCAGAGUCUGCAUUAGAAACUGUCCGGCUUGAGUAUGGGAGAGGUGCGUGGAAUUUCCGGUGUACCGGUGAAAUGCG